UACGAAGGGGGCUAGCGUUGUUCGGAAUUACUGGGCGUAAAGCGCGCGUAGGCGGUGAUCCAUGUCAGAGGUGAAAGCCUGGAGCUCAACUCCAGAAUUGCCUUUGAAACGGGAUCGCUAGAGUCCGAGAGAGGAUGGCGGAAUUCCUAGUGUAGAGGUGAAAUUCGUAGAUAUUAGGAAGAACACCGGUGGCGAAGGCGGCCAUCUGGCUCGGUACUGACGCUCAGGCGCGAAAGCGUGGGGAGCAAACAGG
rnacentral:rRNA from 1 species